UGACUGGGUGCGCCCAGAUAAACAAGUCAGACAUGCAGUCCGUAGUAAGUGAUGCGGCCAAAAACCGGCAGGGCCAAGGCGAGGGAGCAUUUUUUGUUACCGAAAAGCCCCUGAAGCAACAGUUGAAGAACAUUAGGUUAGCUGAAAAGCAUUUGGCUCGCUGAGAAGGUCGUCUUGGCUGUUUCGUGUUUGCAGGGCAGCACCUGUUGUCCCUGCGUGGAGACGUUUUACCCGCCCCCCACCUCCAUUUUAAAAAACAAAACAAAACAUUUUUCUCGCUUGGAGAAUUGGUUGGUGAUUUGGCUGGCUAGAGAUACUUGGGAAGUGGUGAAAGGCUUUUGAGGGGCGUGACUGAAUCAAAGCAUUGUUUUAAGAAGGUAGAUUUGCCCUCUACAAUCACGCCUUAUUAGUAAAGAGACAAGAGAUAACAGGUGCUGGUAAGGAUGUGGAGAAAAGGAACCCUUGUGCGUGGUUGGUGGGAAUGUAAGUUGGUGCAGCCACUAUGGAAAACAGUAUGGAGGUUCCUCGGAAAGGUAAAAAUAGAACUACACUAUGAUUCAGCAAUGCCACUUCUGGGACAUCCAUGUGAGAACACAGAUGGACCUUUUCUGUUUUCUAUUUACACUCUCCCUUGGUGAUCCCAUCCAGUCUUGUGGCUAUCAGAAUUUGAGACAAAGAUGGCCAUCUUUGAACCAGGAAGUGGACUCUCACGAAGCCAAAUCUGCCAGCACUUUGAUCUUGGACUUCAUCUUCAAGUCUCCAGAACUGUGAGAAAUACAUGUCUGGGUUUUUAUUUAAAAAUAAAUAUAUGAAAAAAUAAGCACAGAAAAUAGCAUUAUUUUAAAGACCCUCUCAGUUCUUU